CCCUUAGAUGUCCGGGGCCGCACGCGCGCUACACUGACGAAGGCAACGAGCUUUCCUUUACCGAAAGGUACGGGUAAUCUUUUGAAACUUCGUCGUGCUGGGGAUAGAUCCUUGCAAUUAUUGAUCUUAAACGAGGAAUUCCUAGUAAGCGCAAGUCAUCAACUUGCGUUGAUUACGUCCCUGCCCUUUGUACACACCGCCCGUCGCUACUACCGAUUGAAUGGUUUAGUGAGGCCUUCGGAUCCGCGACUCGUUUUGUGGAGAAGUUGGACAAACUCAGUCAUUUAGAGGAAGUAAAAGUCGUAACA
rnacentral:rRNA from 1 species